CAUACAAAAAGAGGAGUUGUCAACUCGUGGACCACUAAGGCCAUUUUACCCCCGAAGUUGAACCCACCAGUGAGCAGGUCUGUUUGCCUGGACACCCUGGUUUGUCUCUCCCGACGCUCCUAAUUUAGCGUCAGCUCACAAGCCACCACGAUGCUACCUCCGUUCUUUGCGGUUGAUCGUCAGAAAUUGCCAUCUUUAAUGACUUUUAGCUUCGGUCAUUCAGUUCGGACAUUCAGUUCAGACACUCGCCAAGUACUAAAAUUGGUUGGCCGCAACGCCCGCGUCUGGUGGCGCUCUUGGGCAGACUAAUUAAAGCUUUCCCCACUCCUGUUAAUGAACC
rnacentral:sRNA from 2 species